GUUCACUUGCACAGUCCUAUGGUCAUAGCUAGUCCUUCUUAAAGCUCUAGCCAGUGGGAAAGCGUUUGUGUUUCUAUCCUUGGAGCUCCAAGUGGGACUUCUUAAAAGAUUUAGAAGGAGCAAAGCUGUCAGGAAAUCAGAAACGUCACAUGGACUCCAUGACUGGGAAAAACCUCGUGGUGGCCUGCUCUCAGUGCUUGGAUGUGUGCUAGUUACAUCUCGGAGGUCUGAUUUUCUUAACUCUACUACGGUAAGAAGAUGCCCUCCAUCAGCAGGCCGUGUCUGCUGGGACCUCUCUGGAGACUUCCUGAACCCUGUGGAUUUACAGUAAGAUGCAGUUUCCUGGGGAGUAAUUCUGGUGGAUACAAAUUCCGGAGUAUUACACCUGGCUUGCCUGGAGAUGUUACAAGUAGCUGGAUGGAUUCUUCAGCCUGGAUGCCCACUGAAAACAAGGACCGAAACUAAGAGGAUUGUAUCUCUACCCUUGACUCAAUGAGAAUGUUUGUUGUCAUCUCUCGGGCUACCUGGAGCUCCCUCUAAAAUAGAGCCGAGUUCUGUCACCACAGACAUUGGCAGUGGCACUUGCAUGCCCCUGGCAAGCAGUCUAUCCUGAGGUGGAGGAAGUUGCCCUUGAGUUCUGGCUGGUAACCAGCACAGUAUACCCUUUAAGCGUUCCAGAAGGAUUUUGAGAUCCUUUCCUAAAUCAAAGGUGGAAUAUUUGGGGAUUUGGAAAAUUGAGGCUUCAGAGAAAUCAGGAGCGGUGAAUGAUCGAAAUGGACCUUUGAGAUUACAGUGUGGAGCUGACAUUGCCAGUUAAGCCUGGGCAGAUCUGACUUAAUUGAUUUAGUUGUUGGAGCAGAGACAACCCAGAGGCUUGGAUCAGCCUCCCCAUCUGACAGUGUGCUGAUGUGAAGCGUUGACUUAAGAGAUGCCAAGUAACUCAGCAGAUGUCACACAGACGAUAAAUAGCAAAGAUGGAAGUCUUCAUGCCGGAGGCAAUCCUAUAAGACAGCUGAGUUCUGCAGAGCUGGAGACAGACUUGCUCAGGUGAUAGAUCCAGCCAUGAUACUGACCCUAAGAGAAUGAGACGCUCUGCAGAAGACAGAAGAUUCCUGAAACUGGGAAAGGUGCCUAGAAAUCCUGAUAAGAGUGAAGAAGGAGCUGGCAGAGCAGCCUUCCUCCGCACUAUGAAAGACAUCCAACAGAGAGCAAGUUCCCACCUCACUUCCAGCUUGACUCCUUUUUAUCUCCUAACUGUGGUCUGUGAUGUCUUCAGCAAUGGGUACCUGGAGGCACAGCAGCCAUGUUGAACCUAUGAGGUGAUGAAAAACCAUGCAACUAGAAACCAGAAUGGAAGAAAAGAAGAAGCUGGAUCCUUGACUGAAUUGUCGAUGGGGGAUAGUCCAUCAUCCCAGGGCUAAGACCACCUCCAGAUUUCUUGUUUGGUGAAACAAGUCCUGAUUGUUUACAUUCCCUCGUGUUGAGCUGUCUCUUGCUUGUAGCUGAAAGCAUUUCUAAUAGAUAUUCAGAUUAUCAGCCUUAGCUCCAAGCUAGAAUACUCUAUGGGACCUUAGCUUCUCCAUGAAUUCCUUUGCUCAUCUGUGUAAUGCUCAAUAAAUGUAAAUUGAACCCUGAAUGAGGGACAAUGACA
rnacentral:lncRNA from 1 species